rnacentral:lncRNA from 1 species
GGCCGUAUCGGGGAUGCUGGAACCUGCGGUUGAGUGAGAAACCGGCGCCACCGCCUGCGUCUUGGUCUCGGGCUGGUGGCCAGCGGGGUCUGGGCGUGGUUUUACCCAGCUCCUUUGCGAAGCUGCUGUCCUUUCCUCAACGUUACCACCCGGCUGGGCAGCCUACCCUCGCAGCAACAGGUGUGCACCUUCCAAGCUUGCAACAGACCACAUUCAGAAGCUUGAUUUCUUGUUGUUCUGGGAAUAUCUGGAUCAGAGCCCCUGUUCUCCCUGCCCACCUCCUACCCCACUGGAGUGGCCUUUCAUCAAACCUAAACCAAAGAAACCAACAGACCUUGCUGUCACCACUACUCCGGGACCUGGAAGUUAAAGCGAGGGAGAGACGGUGAAACACAGAAAGCAGAACGCCUUCUGUUCUUCCACAACACAGGGUUUGUGGACGUGGCCACUAUAAGAACUCGCACUGCGUGCUGAUUAUACUCCUCAGCACAAUUCAUUUCUUAAACUUUUUAGAAUAAUUUAAAAUUUACAAAAAGUUGCAAAAAUAAAAACCAGUAAACUUUUCACCUUCAUCUGCCUUAUAAUUAAGGCAGCGGGCAGCGCGCUGGACAGAACGGGAGGGGCUUGCGCUUUCCGCCGGUGGGAAACCCCACCCGCAGGGACGAGCCGGGACCAUCUGGCCCUACCUGCCGAACGGCCGCUUGGUGGAGAUGUGUCCCAGAACCGAAGGAGGAGGGUGCCACGCACAUUUGUCUUGCCUUCCCCGGUGGCGGGGGCAUGGCAAGGGCGGAGCUUCCCGCUGUGCCCUUGGAGGCCGCCUGCAACCAGGCUAGUGUAGGUGGGGACGCACGCCCUGUACCCUACCCAUCCUGCCCAUUGCGGGUCUGGCCCGGACCUGAAGGGCAGUAGUUGGGGCCGUCCCCGCGUCUUCUGGGCCCUGUAGUGAAUACAGUCUGCCCCAUUCAAAUCCUUUUCCUCACUUAGGAUUACUGCUGUGUGUCAGUGUCACACACCCCAAAUUGAUAAUGGCUUAAGAUGGGAUUUCUCAUUUAAAAAGAAGUCUUUGGUUGAGUGAGCUGGGGCUAUUUUGGUGUUUCCACAUGGGACCUAGGCUCCUUUUAGCUCAGCACUAUCCUACGUCUAGGGUAUGGCUGAGCUGUUCUCUUGGCCAAGACUGAGCCAGAGCCCGUGGUCAGGUCAGCAUAACCUUUCCAGGCAGCAGGAUAGAGUGGGAAAGAAAGAAGGGUCUGUUGAAGGAAAAUUCCCCCAAGUUCAGUCCUACUUCAUUGGCCAGAACUUAAUCACAUGUCAGACCUAGCUACAAAUUGAAUGAGAAAGUCAAGUAUUUAAGGUGGGUCCCUUAUCUCUCAAAACACUGGGCUUCAGAUAAUAGAGAAGGGAAGGGGUGUCAAGAGGAAACGGCUACCUGUGUCACUGUGCUUAUCAGGAUUCUUACCCUUCUCAAAAUUUCCCAUUGCAGUAUCUUGACUACCCUAUCCCAAACCUAGCACACUUUUACCAAAGACAACUUAACUGGGGAAGCUGCAGCAUGGCAGGCACAUCAUCUAUUGGUCCAACUUCUAUAGGGUUUUCUAUUCUUUACAUUGAAGAAAUGCAAUUGGGUUUGGCCUUUAGGAUCAGUAACAGCAGCUUCUGGUUCUGAUGUCCUCCAUCCUAGUUUCAGUGCUUCUUCCUCUCAGAAUCAGUGCUGAUUCACUUUCUCUUUAUCAAUGAGUUUAAUAUAGUGGCUUCAUUUAUAAGCAAUUAGCUAACUCUAGUAUUUCAUCUGUUCUCAUCAUUUAAUUCUCAGCUAAGGUGCUAAGGUAGGGCCCAGCCAUCUGUUAGGUGAUUCUGCUAUAUCCUAAGGUGAUGUAUCCUAAAAGACACCUAGGGUGCUUUUAGAAACUGCCCAUGCCCAGCCGUAUCCUCAAAGAUUCAGGCAAACAAUUAGCCGGGUGUGGUGGCAUGUGCCUGCAAUCCCAGCUACUCAGGAGGCUUAGGCACGAGAAUUGUUAGAACCCGGGAGAUGGAGGUUGCAGUGAGCCAAGAUUAUGCCACUGCACUCCAGCCUGGAACAAAACCAACCCCCCUACCCACCACCACACACACACACACACACACACACACACACACACACACACACACACACUCAAGCAUGGUUGGGUCUGGAGUAUGGCCUUGGCAUAGGUAAUUUUCAGUGUCCCAAGGGAUUCUAGUGUGCAUGGGGCUGUGAAUCACAGCUCCAGGUGGGCCAACUAUGUGCACACUGGUGCCUGGGGUAGGUACUAAGCCCUGAUCCUCACCCCUGUGCGGGUGCUUCCUAUUAUGCUUUCUGCCUUUAGCCCUCCUCCUCC